rnacentral:lncRNA from 10 species
AAAAUGCAAUUUGCAGUGGUUAGAAAUGACAAAGGAUGGGUGGUAGGAUCCAGAGAAAAAACAGUGAAACCCGAUGGACCUUAAAUAGAUCUGAGGGCACUGAUUUGAUUAUUUUGGGUGAAAUCUUUUAAGAAAAUCUUGUCAGAUUCUUCACAGAAAAUUUGGUAAAGCCUAUAUUUCAUCGCCAGCCUAGCAAAGGCAAGCUGGCAAACAGGGAAACAAGGAGAACUGUGUGCUCAGCCCUCCAGAGUGGCACGGAUUAUGAGGAGGUGAUGGUCCUUCCCCGCCAAGAUCCUGAGACACUGUCACUCCGGAAUCCAAAAAGAGAUUCAGAUACCAUGAAAGGAUUUGAGCGUUUUUUUAUGUGAAUCCAAAGAUGACAUUUACAAAAGGUGGAGAAGCAGUUCCCUACUGAGGGACGUGGAUACAAAAAGCAGAUGACACAACACAUCCCAUAGAGUUCCCAGGGAAGAAUGAACCCAGAUUCUUGACCUGCAGAGGUGGCGUACUGGCUGGAGAAAUCUCUGGCUGGCGACCGUGCUAUUCUGUCUGUCCACCUAACUGUGGGCUCCCAGAUCACCACUGCCAUGGGCAGGGGGCCGUGGGGUGGGCCUGCUUGGGGUGACAGGCUAGCUGUGCUCCCAUAGCAGAGGUGGGAGAAGGGAAUCACAUCUGGUGAGCAGCUAUGUCGUGCCAGGCACUGUGCUGUGUAUUGCACACAUCUCAAACCUUGUGACAAAUGUGUAAGAUAUUUUUUAUGUAUUACAA